ACGCUUCCUUCAGCAGCACAUAUACUAAAAUUGCAAUGACACAGAAAUUAGCAUGGCCCCUGAGCAAGGAGAAUAUGUGAAUUCGUGAAGUGUUCCAUAUAUCU
ensembl:snRNA U6 U6 spliceosomal RNA